rnacentral:rRNA from 1 species
GUGAGGAAUUUUCCGCAAUGGGCGAAAGCCUGACGGAGCAAUGCCGCGUGAAGGAUGAAGGCCUAUGGGUUGUAAACUUCUUUUCUCAGAAAAGAAUUAUGACGGUAUCUGAGGAAUAAGCAUCGGCUAACUCUGUGCCAGCAGCCGCGGUAAGACAGAGGAUGCAAGCGUUAUCCGGAAUGAUUGGGCGUAAAGCGUCUGUAGGUUGUUUAAAAAGUAUUCUGUCAAAGAUUAGGGCUUAACCCUAGAUAGGCAGAAUAAACUUUUAAGCUAGAGUUUGGUAGAGGCAGAGGGAAUUCCCGGUGGAGCGGUGAAAUGCGUAGAUAUCUGGAGGAACACCAAAGGCGAAGGCACUCUGCUGGGCCAAUACUAACACUGAGAGACGAAAGCGAGGGGAGCAAAUGGGAUUAGAAACCCGUGUAGUCC